AUUGAACGCUGGCGGCAGGCCUAACACAUGCAAGUCGAACGGUAACAGGAAGAAGCUUGCUUCUUUGCUGACGAGUGGCGGACGGGUGAGUAAUGUCUGGGAAACUGCCUGAUGGAGGGGGAUAACUACUGGAAACGGUAGCUAAUACCGCAUAACGUCGCAAGACCAAAAAGGGGGACCUUCGGGCCUCUUGCCAUCGGAUGUGCCCAGAUGGGACUAGCUAGUAGGUGGGGUAACGGCUCACCUAGUCGACGAUCCCUAGCUGGUCUGAGAGGAUGACCAGCCACACUGGAACUGAGACACGGUCCAGACUCCUACGGGAGGCAGCAGUGGGGAAUAUUGCACAAUGGGCGCAAGCCUGAUGCAGCCAUGCCGCGUGUAUGAAGAAGGCCUUCGGGUUGUAAAGUACUUUCAGCGGGGAGGAAGGGAGUAAAGUUAAUACCUUUGCUCAUUGACGUUACCCGCAGAAGAAGCACCGGCUAACUCCGUG
rnacentral:rRNA from 1 species